UACAGAGGGUGCAAGCGUUAAUCGGAAUUACUGGGCGUAAAGCGUGCGUAGACGGUUAUGUAAGUCAGAUGUGAAAGCCCCGGGCUCAACCUGGGAAUUGCAUUUGAGACUGCAUAGCUAGGGUGCGGAAGAGGGAAGCGGAAUUUCCGGUGUAGCGGUGAAAUGCGUAGAGAUCGGGAGGAACACCGGUGGCGAAGGCGGGUCCCUGGGCAACUCCUGACGCUGAGGCGCGAAAGCGUGGGGAGCAAACGGG
rnacentral:rRNA from 1 species